AACGUAGGAGACGAACGUUAUCCGGAGUUACUGGGCGUAAAGGGCGUGUAGGCGGUUUGUUAAGUCUGGCGUGAAAGCUCUCGGCUAAACCGGGAGAGGUCGUUGGAUACUGGCAAACUUGAGGAUGGUAGAGGCGUGUGGAAUUCCGGGUGUAGUGGUGAAAUGCGUAGAGAUCCGGAGGAACACCAGUGGCGAAGGCGACACGCUGGGCCAUACCUGACGCCAAAGCGCGACAGCAUGGGGAGCAAACGGG
rnacentral:rRNA from 1 species